rnacentral:rRNA from 1 species
GACGAACGCUGGCGGCGUGCUUAACACAUGCAAGUCGAACGGUGAAGCGCCUUCCUUUUUGGUGGGUGUGGAUGAGUGGCGAACGGGUGAGUAACACGUGAGUAACCUGCCCCCUUCUUCUGGAUAACCGCAUGAAAGUGUGGCUAAUACGGGAUAUUCUGGGUCUGUCGCAUGAUGGGUCUGGGAAAGAUAUUGUUUCGGUGGGGGAUGGGCUCGCGGCCUAUCAGCUUGUUGGUGGGGUGAUGGCCUACCAAGGCGGUGACGGGUAGCCGGCCUGAGAGGGUGGACGGUCACACUGGGACUGAGACACGGCCCAGACUCCUACGGGAGGCAGCAGUGGGGAAUAUGGCACAAUGGGCGCAAGCCUGAUGCAGCGACGCCGCGUGAGGGAUGGAGGCCUUCGGGUUGUGAACCUCUUUCGCCAGUGAAGCAGGCCUGCCUCGUCUGUGGGUGGGUUGACGGUAGCUGGAUAAGAAGCGCCGGCUAACUACGUG